GGAUGUUACAAGUGAUCUGAUAGUUAUCUGUUACCCUUGAACAUCAUAAAUGUGCUGGUCAUCUUCAGAUCCACUCUCACAUUCACUUGAACGACAGGGACUAUCAUUAAAAUGGUGUAAAAGUUAAUAAAUAUUUGGAAAAAGGUAUAUAUAAAAAGGAAACUGUUAGAAUUCAGUUGAGGAUAGGAAAUGAGGAAUCCUUUUUGAAUAAUAAAAUGUACUAGAACAUCCCAAAGGGGGAAUGGGAAAGUGUGGGGGAAAUGUGGAUUUUUUUAUUAGAUGACUCAUUGCAUAUUAUGUGAUUUGCCAUCAAAACUCAAAAGAUGUUGCUACUUAAGGCACUAAUUCUGAAUACUAGUAAUAAUUACCUUCCAUCAUGAUCUGAUUCUAAAUUUGUACUAUCACACUCAAAUGAUGGGUCGUCAUGGCUUAAUCCAAACUGAGGAUUGACAGAUGUGGAAAGACUCUUAGAAGAUUAGCAGAUGUAGGUGCAACAUCGAUGGCUCUGUUAGGGAAAGUAAAUUAAAUUAACCCUGAUUUCCAUUUUAUGACAGGAGCACGUCCAGCUAUGUGAAAUAGCCAAGAUGAGCCAAACGACGUGUAUUCGUUGAUGACAUAUGUUUAUUUUGGUUCAGAAAUGUUGAUGUUGACGAUAUAUACUGUAUGUAAU